CCCAGGUGAUCCCUGGGCUGUGGUAAAGAUGGGAUCCCUCUGUGUCCAGGAGCAUCCUGGAGCUCGGGCGGGGUCCUCAGGGCACCGCUGACCCCACACUUCUUGUCCUUCCCAGGUCCCUUUCCUCCCGCUCCUGCCAGUUGUCAGCAUUUUCGUUAACGUCUUGCUGAUGGUGCAGCUGAGUGCUGGCACCUGGGUACGAUUUGCCGUCUGGAUGGCCGUGGGUUUUACCAUUUACUUUGCCUAUGGGAUCCGGAACAGCGUGGAAGGGAAGACCGUGGAGGAGCCCUGCGGGCCGGCAGAAAAGCCUCUGCACCGCCCGGGACUGGACCCUAGCCCUGGGGCUGCUGCAGUCUGAGGCACUCGGCAGUGGCACUCUGUGGACCUCUGCCAGCAUCCCCGCCGGGUACCAGGCCAUGAUCUGCACCGUCCCUGCAUCCCCUCUCGCACAGGUUGGGGGUCUCAGGGUCAGGACUGCAGAGCUGGGCUGUGUGCUGCCCCUUCCCCUGGCAGAGCAGAGGUCAUGGAGAUGAGUCCAUGGGCUGGGUAGGAGCCUCGGUCUCUGCCACCCCGCAGCCCUGCCGAGGGGCAGUGGCACUGGCACAGCCCUGCCGCUGUGCCAGCUGCUGCCAGAAAUGCUGCUUUCCCUGCGCAGGGGAGGCCCCAUGUGAGGGUGCAGCUGUGCCCAUCCUGUCUGUCCAUGUGUCUGUGGUGGCCACCUCCCCUCUGCACUUCCUAAGUGCCAGGGGUGGAGGGGCAGCCAUGAGUGCAGCCAUGGACAAGGCUGGAGGCAGCUUGUUCUGGUACCACCAGCAGCCCGGUACUGCCUGGCAAGAGGGGGCUCAAGCAGCCAAACCCUUCCUCUGUGCCCAGGGUUUGCAGCUGGCUGAGCCCCGCACUGCCUUGGCCAUGCUGCUUGGUGUGAGCAUCGAGCUCAGGUGCCUAUGAAGAUGCCCACAGUGCAGCUGUGCCCGUGUCCAGCCUUUGCAUAGUUGGUGUUUACUGUCUUUGUAGAAUUGCUGGUGUCUUCGUGGUGACUUUUAUACCUACGAACUAAAUGGGGUUUAAGUGCUUG